UACAGAGGUCUCAAGCGUUGUUCGGAUUCAUUGGCGUAAAGGGUGCGUAGGUGGCGUCGUAAGUCGGGUGUGAAAUUUCGGAGCUUAACUCCGAAACUGCAUUCGAUACUGCGGUGCUUGAGGACUGGAGAGGAGACUGGAAUUUACGGUGUAGCAGUGAAAUGCGUAGAGAUCGUAAGGAAGACCAGUGGCGAAGGCGGGUCUCUGGACAGUUCCUGACACUGAGGCACGAAGGCCAGGGGAGCAAACGGG
rnacentral:rRNA from 1 species